rnacentral:rRNA from 1 species
AUGUGCCCCCUGUGCAAGCAAGUCCAGGAAUCGGCGGCUCAUCUGCUUUUCAAAUGCCGCUACACGGUUAGAGUAUGGAACAUGAUUAAAGUGUGGCUUGGCCUUCAUGACAUUCACCCGCAGAACUGGGCCAUGGUUGACACGGUGAAGAGCUGGUGGAGCGCCACCGCUUCCAACACGACGCAAUCUCGACGACCGCUUACCUGCCUUAUGCUGCUCGUCUCAUGGGAAAUUUGGAAAGAGCGGAAUGCUAGGGUAUUUCGUAAUGUCGCAGUGCCUGUUAGGGUUUUAGUAGCUAGAAUCAAAGACGAGACGGCGCUAUGGUGUCUGGCCGGUGCGAAACAUUUGUGUAAUAUCAUUGCCGCGAGAGUGAUACGUUGUAUUUGGCCUUUGGCCAAGACCCCUAAGACUCCUUCUUAUUCAAUGAAAAUGGCAAAUCUUUUGCCUUGUUUCAAAAAAAAAAAACUACGCGUUGAGGUAGCUGAAAUCCUAAAAAUGAAAAUUGAGUCCAAUUGA